rnacentral:tRNA from 1 species
CAGAUAUUAGUUUAAAUAAAAUAUUAAUUUUGGAGAUUAAAGAUAAGAAUUAUCUUAUAUCUGA